UACGGGGGAGCAAGCGUUGUUCGGAUUUACUGGGCGUAAAGGGCGCGUAGGCGGCCACCGCAAGUCGACUGUGAAAUCUCCGGGCUUAACCCGGAAAGGUCAGCCGAUACUGCGGGCUAGAGUGCAGAAGGGCAACUGGAAUCUCGGUGUAGCGGUGAAAUGCGUAGAUAUCGAGAGGAACACCUGCGGCGAAGGCGGGUUGCUGGGCUGACACUGACGCUGAGGCGCGAAAGCUAGGGGAGCGAACGGG
rnacentral:rRNA from 1 species